GCUGAAAUAGCUCAGUUGGGAGAGCAUUAGAUCUGAAGAUCUAAAGGUCCUGUUUCAAUCCCUGGUUUCAGCA